rnacentral:rRNA from 1 species
AUUGAACGCUGGCGGCAUGCUUUACACAUGCAAGUCGAGCGGCAACAGGCCGCGAGGUGCCGACGAGUGGCGAACGGUUGAGUAAUGGAGCGGAACGCGCCGGGUCGUGGGGGAUAGCUACUCGUAAGAGUAGCUAACACCGCCUACGAUCUAUUGCGGACAGCGGGGGACAGCAGGGCCUCGCGGGAUUUUGCGGGCCGGUAUGAGACGAUGUCGGUUUAGGGAGUUGGUGGGGUAAAGGCCAACCAAGGUAGCUAUCUGUAGCUGGUCUGAGAGGACGAUCAGCCACACUGGAACUGAGACACGGCCCAGACUCCUACGGGAGGCAGCAGUGGGGAAUAUUGGACAAAGGGCGCAAGCCUGAUCCAGCCAUGCCGCGUGCAGGAAGAAGGCCUUCGGGUUGUAAACUGCUUUUGUACGGAACGAAACGCAGCUGGUUAAUACCCCGCGCUACUGACGGUACCCAAAGAAUAAGCACCGGCUAACUACGUG